AUAGUACUCCCUCCGUUCGAAAAUACUUGUCAGACAAAUGCAUGUAUCUAGACGUAUUUUAGUUCAAGAUACAUUCAUUUUUAUCCAUUUCUCUGACAAGUAUUUCCGGAGAAGGGAUUACUAU
rfam:Triticum aestivum genome assembly, contig: Triticum_aestivum_CS42_TGACv1_scaffold_329298_4BS